UACGAAGGGGGCUAGCGUUGUUCGGAUUUACUGGGCGUAAAGCGCACGUAGGCGGAUUGUUAAGUCGGGGGUGAAAUCCUGGAGCUCAACUUCAGAAUUGCCUUCGAUACUGGCUUUCUAGAGGCUGGAAGAGGUUAGUGGAAUUCCCAGUGUAGAGGUGAAAUUCGUAGAUAUUGGGAAGAACACCGGUGGCGAAGGCGGCAUCCUGGACCGGCAUUGACGCUGAGGCGCGAAAGCUAGGGGAGCAAACGGGG
rnacentral:rRNA from 1 species